rnacentral:rRNA from 1 species
GUAGUUUGAUCGUGGCUCAGGACGAACGCUGGCGGCGUGCUUAACACAUGCAAGUCGAACGAGAAUCUACUGAAAGAGUUUUCGGACAAUGGAAGUAGAGGAAAGUGGCGGACGGGUGAGUAACGCGUGAGGAACCUGCCUUGAAGAGGGGACAACAGUUGGAAACGACUGCUAAUACCGCAUGAUGCAUAAGGGUCGCAUGAUUCUUAUGCCAAAGAUUUAUCGCUUCAAGAUGGCCUCGCGUCUGAUUAGCUAGUUGGCGGGGUAACGGCCCACCAAGGCGACGAUCAGUAGCCGGACUGAGAGGUUGAACGGCCACAUUGGGACUGAGAUACGGCCCAGACUCCUACGGGAGGCAGCAGUGGGAAUAUUGGGCAAUGGGCGCAAGCCUGACCCAGCAACGCCGCGUGAAGGAAGAAGGCUUCCGGUAUGUAAACUUCUAUCAGCAGGGAAGAAAAUGACGGUACCUGACUAAGAAGCCCCGGCUAACUACGUGCCAGCCGCCGCAGUAAG